UUGACCUAAAAGAGAGACCCUGACAUCAGCCAGGCAGGACAGAGGUGCAGGGCAGGGGGUAAACUCAGAGACCCCUGUGGCUUUGCUGCAGUAAGUCUCCUCCUCAAAGUCUCUCCCUGAGGCUGAGAGAGAAUUAAUAUUCACGUACGUGAGCAUGAGGAUGAACCUCUUCGGAGUUUUCUCCUUUCCUACUACUGAUUUUGCUAGAAAAUGAGCAUCCACAUUUCCUACCUAGGACUUUCUCCCAUAGAAUCACUGAGGACAUUGAGUAUUGCAGUGGUGGAGUGAGGAGUCCAUGCAUCCAUUGUGAACUGAGAAAGUGUCUGAUGUGUCCUUUCCCCAGAAGGAGAGAUCUAGAUACUAUCAAUUGGCAGGAGAGAACCAGAGUGAGCCCAAAUGACGUUGGAACACCCAUUUCCUGAGCCAGUCAAGAGUGCUUGGCUUGAUUCCCAGUGGAAACCUACUGGCUACAUCAUUGUGACAACUAUUGCUAGAAGCUAUUCCACUAUCCUCUUGCAAAGUAAGGCUCCAAAAAACUGGAGACUUUCUAAGGGAUAUCUCCAGUUGCAAAAGGGGGCAGGGAGAGGGGAAGGCCAGGACCAAUAUUGACAAUGUCCAUGCAUCUACCUGUCAUCAGCAAAAAGCAAACCUUAUGAGGAAUUGUAGGAUGAAGGUGGCAAUAUUUUGUACUUACAUCAUGCGGUACCUUUCAUCAGAUAUUUCAGAGCAUGUUCUAAACUGUAACUAGAGCUCAACAUUCUUGCCAGGCAAGAACCAGUAAAUAUGGUUUCC